rnacentral:rRNA from 1 species
GACGAACGCUGGCGGCGUGCUUAACACAUGCAAGUCGAACGGAAAGGCCCUGCUUGCAGGGUGCUCGAGUGGCGAACGGGUGAGUAACACGUGGGUGAUCUGCCCCUUACUUUGGGAUAAGCCUGGGAAACUGGGUCUAGUACUGGAUAGGACCAUGCUGUAGGUGGUGUGGUGGAAAGAUUAGUUUCGGUAAGGGAUGAGCUCGCGGCCUAUCAGCUUGUUGGUGGGGUAAUGGCCCACCAAGGCGUCGACGGGUAGCCGGCCUGAGAGGGUGGACGGCCACAUUGGGACUGAGAUACGGCCCAGACUCCUACGGGAGGCAGCAGUGGGGAAUAUUGCACAAUGGGCGCAAGCCUGAUGCAGCGACGCCGCGUGGGGGAUGACGGCCUUCGGGUUGUAAACUCCUUUCAGCCAUGACGAAGCCCUUGUGGUGACGGUAGUGGUAGAAGAAGCACCGGCCAACUACGU